rnacentral:lncRNA from 1 species
CAUAGGCCUUAGUUUAGAACAUUCAUGAGAAGCAGGAGAGAAGGAAAAAGAUGAAGGUGGUGUAUUUUAAAGAAAAAGCUGUACUUGGUAAAAAGCAAAACCAACCAACCAAAAAGAUUAAUAUUAUGGGGCAGAAGUCCAGCUUAACAAGAGCUAUGUGUAGUCUGAGUUUUUUCUUCAUAGAAGGUAACACUUCAAUUCAUCAGACUAGUUUGUUUUGUGCUGUUUUCCUGAAUUCUUCUGUAUGGUGUCAGUUCUUGAAGAUGUUCUUUGUUCAUCUCGAACAGGGGUUCACAAGCCAGUGGGAUGACAUGAAAUGAUAGGCUGGAAUCUACCUUAAUUCUUCAACCAUUCAAGCAAAUCUAAUCAACUGCUUGCUUCAUGUGGUUUUUGGUUUUGUUUUUAUUUUAGCUCUUAGCCUACUUUAAAAUGUCUGCAAGUCUAAAAAAAAAGGGGGGGGGAGGGCUGAGAAAAUACUGUAUAGAUUUUUUUCAUUCCCUUUCAUGCCCAGAAUAUAUUUCAUUAAAUAUGUUUCCUGGGCAGUUUGGGGGUGGCCCUUCCUUUUUAAAGGGAAGAGGCAGCCAGAGAGUCUUCUUUCUUAAAAGAAAAAGUAUUUUAAUUUAUUUGAACGAUGUUCAAGUCUAAUAUCUCUGAGUUGGAUUUGCAAAACUUAGAGGGAGAAACACCAUUGACUCUUAGUGUUGCUCUUGGAUUUAGCAGUAGUUUCUGUUUCUUGUUUGUACCAUGAUUGCCUUCGUGAUCCCCUCAGCAUAAAAAAUGUCUGCUCAGUGUUUGUUACAUUCUCUUUUCUGGCUGAACAUCUGGCUGCUGUUCACCCUUUGUAUUUUUGGCUUUACUGUCAAAAAUGUCUUCAACCAAUGAAGUUCCUGUUGCUACGUUACAGUGCAACUUUCACUGGCAGAGCACCUGUGCAUCUCCUGUUAAUGGUCUGUUUUUACAACGUGUGCUCACCACUAGUAUUGCACAGUACUUUUGCAAGUCUUUUUUAAAUCUAAUCUAAAAAAAGUAAGACCAGAGGAAAAAGUAAAAGCUUACUAUUAAUUAGCAGUGUGAAAGAGAACUAACACAGAUCAGAGGGGGGGGAAAAAUAAAGGUAUGCAAACAACAUUCA